GAUGAACGCUGGCGGCGUGCUUAACACAUGCAAGUCGAGCGAUGAAGUUUUCUUCGGGAAACGGAUUAGCGGCGGACGGGUGAGUAACACGUGGGUAACCUGCCUCAUAGAGUGGAAUAGCCUUUCGAAAGGAAGAUUAAUACCGCAUAAUGUUGAAAGAUGGCAUCAUCAUUCAACCAAAGGAGCAAUCUGCUAUGAGAUGGACCCGCGGCGCAUUAGCUAGUUGGUGGGGUAACGGCCUACCAAGGCGACGAUGCGUGGCCGACCUGAGAGGGUGAUCGGCCACAUUGGGACUGAGACACGGCCCAGACUCCUACGGGAGGCAGCAGUGGGGAAUAUUGCACAAUGGGGGAAACCCUGAUGCAGCAACGCCGCGUGGGUGAUGACGGUCUUCGGAUUGUAAAGCUCUGUCUUUGGGGACGAUAAUGACGGUACCCAAGGAGGAAGCCACGGCUAACUACGUGCCAGCCGCCGCCGUAAUAC
rnacentral:rRNA from 1 species